UGCCAGCCGCCGCGGUAAGACGAACCGUGCGAACGUUGUUCGGAAUCACUGGGCUUAAAGGGUGCGUAGGCGGAUGGGUCAGUCGGAGGUGAAAUCCUGCAGCUCAACUGUAGAACUGCCUUCGAAACUGCCUAUCUUGAGGGAGGUAGGGGCACGUGGAACUUCCGGUGGAGCGGUGAAAUGCGUAGAGAUCGGAAGGAACACCAGUGGCGAAGGCGACUUCCUGGGCCAAUACUGACGCUGAGGUGCGAAAGCGUGGGGAGCAAACAGGAUUAGAUA
rnacentral:rRNA from 1 species